GUAUUAAGGUGAUGCCNNNCCAGUGAAUUACUUAAACGGCCGCGGGAUCCUCCACCGUGCAAAGGUAGCAUAAUCACUUGUCCCCUAAAUAGAGACUAGUAUGAAUGGCCCAAUGAGGAUUUUCCUGUCUCCUAUAAAAGAUCUAUGAAACUANNCUCUCANUACAAAAGCUGAGANNUUAUCAUAAGACGAAAAGACCCUGNGGAACUUUAAACGGACACCACUUAACCUAUGGUUCACCCGCUUUCAGUUGGGGCAACUAUGGAAAUAAACNAAACUUCCACACUACCUCACUAGGUGGACACACCCCCCCCCNNNNNNUUUUUCCAGACCCAGUUAAUUUAACUGAAAAAAGAACCAAGCUACCCCAGGGAUAACAGCGCUAUCCCCUCCUAGAGCCCCCAUCGACGAGGGGGUUUACGACCUCGAUGUUGGAUCAGGGCCCCCAAACAGUGCAGCAGCNGUUAAUGGUUUGUUGUU
rnacentral:rRNA from 1 species